rnacentral:rRNA from 1 species
GAUGAACGCUAGCGGCAGGCUUAAUACAUGCAAGUCGAGGGACAGCACAGGUAGCAAUACUGGGUGGUAACCGGCAAACGGGUGCGGAACACGUACACAACCUUCCUUUAAGUGGGGGAUAGCCCAGAGAAAUUUGGAUUAAUACCCCGUAAUAUAGUUGAAUGGCAUCAUUUGAUUAUUAUAGCUACGGCGCUUAAUGAUGGGUGUGCGGCUGAUUAGAUAGUUGGCGGGGUAACGGCCCACCAAGUCUACGAUCAGUAGCCGAUGUGAGAGCAUGAUCAGCCACACGGGAACUGAGACACGGGCCCGACUCCUUCGGGAGGCAGCAGUAAGGAAUAUUGGUCAAUGGACGCAAGUCCGAACCAGCCAUGCCGCGUGAAGGAUUAAGGUCCUCUGGAUUGUAAACUUCUUUUAUUUGGGACGAAAAAGGGCCUUUCUAGGUCAACUGACGGUACCAGAUGAAUAAGCACCGGCUAACUCCGUGCCAGCCGCCGCCGUAACAC